GGUACUUAAAAGAGUCCUAAAGCACAUUUGGAAGGAUACAGAGAUUAUCAUGGCCCCUGUGCAAGGAUAUGACAUGCAAAUCCAUACAGCAUUUUAUAUUAAG
ensembl:snRNA U6 U6 spliceosomal RNA